GACGAACGCUGGCGGCGUGCUUAACACAUGCAAGUCGAACGAAGCGGCGAACGGGUGAGUAAGGCGUACUCAACCUGCCCUUCAGAGGGGGACAACAGUGGGAAACGACUGCUAAUACCGCAUACUGCAGGAGGGGAUUGCGUCUGAUUAGCUAGUUGGAGGGGUAACGGCCCACCAAGGCGAUGAUCAGUAGCCGGGCUGAGAUGAUGAACGGCCACAUUGGGACUGAGACACGGCCCAGAAUCCGACGGGAGGCCGCAGUUGGGAAUCUUCCGCAAGGGACGAAAGUCUGACGGAGCAACGCCGCGUGCGUGAUGACGGCCUUCGGGGUGUAAAGGUCUGUUCAUCGGUACGCGGUACCGGAAUAGAAAGCCACGGCUAACUACGUGCCAGCAGCCGCGGUAAUUC
rnacentral:rRNA from 1 species